ACUUUUAAAUUUUCUAGCAUUCGGAGAGUUUACAAUGGCUAGAAGAUCAAAGAGGUCCAAAAGAGCAAAACUUUAUGAAAGUGAUUCAGAACAGAUAAGCGACCAUGAGGUGGAAAGGGAGGGUGAAGAUGAUGAUUUAUCUGAUGGGUAGAAGAUGGCGAAGAUGAUCAUAGCAUGGAAGAAGAUGAUGAUGUAGGGAGUAACGAAGGAGACAAUAAGGAAGAUGAUGUGGUGGAGAAAGCGAAGAUUUUGAUCAUAUGAUUGAGGAAGAGAGUGAGAGUGGUGCUGAAGGAGAUGAUGACAAUAAAUGCUUCUAAGGAAGAGCUUGAAAAAGAGUAGGAACUUCGUUCUCGAGAACAGAUUAUACUAAAGAAUCUUAAGCAUGAUAAGAACGAGGAUGUUGCUAAAGACCAAGCAGUGAAGAAUCAGAAGAUUUUUUCCCAUACGUAGUACGGGACAGCUCACUAGUAUUCUAUAACAAUAAAGGAGAGUAUUCUCUCCCUUCUCCCGGUGCCACCUCAGCCUUCCCCUCUUCGUAUUGCGCCACGUCAGCCGCUUCUCUAUCCUUACUGAAAUUGUUCGUGAAAAAACUUUAGUGAUCUGGGCUGUGUUAAUUAUUAUUGAGCUUUGUGUAAUUAGUAAAUCCAAUCUAAAUAUUUGUAAAGUGGCCCGUAGUCUUCAAGUCCACUUCAGAGUACCUCUAUAGUUGCCCUAGCCCUAGGUUACGCUCCCCUGAAAUAUCAAUCAGUAACGUUACCCACUACACUCAUUGCAUCGUCUUCAAUUCUUAUUUACUUACUUCAUCCCUCAGUCGCUUGGAUGCAACAAACCAAGCCAAAGACGAACCAAAAUCAUAUCCAUUUCCCAACAGCGGUAAUCGUGGUCAUACACAAAUAAUCCCUUCCACCAUGGCUUCUUCUCAAGCUCAUUUCUCGAAGCUUAAGGCCGGCUGUUUCAAGGAGAUGGUAGACCAGAUUCCUGCGAUUCUAAAAGUCAGGAAUGUCAAAAAAGGUUGGACCUGAUGGGAGUUGACAUGCUCCUCAUAGAUGCGACGGCAACCGCUCAUCCAAGCCUCAAUCAAUCUCCAUAUGCUUAACAAACUCAAACACCUUUUGGAAAAAGGCUCCUUUAAGAGCUCAGUGUUUUUGAUGUUGCAAGAAGGCAACCCAACUUCAGGUUUUGUGGUGUUGAAUAUUCGAUGAAGUUGCAUCAACGGCACACGAUAUCUUGAGUUCUUGACUGAGAGGUUUAGGUUCCGUAAGGCACUUACGAGGAGCUCAUGUCUCUUGCCACACCAACACAGUCC